AAUCUGCGUCAUGUGACGGCGGACGGACGGAGAGAUGAAGAUGGCGCAGCACCGGCGCUGAAGAGUCUCCCCGUUCACCGCGUAAAAUCACGGAAAAUUGCAUCGAUCAAGCGCGAAAGAGCGCCACGCGCGCGCGUGACUCGAGAAACGCUCAAGGUUAGCUCAUCCUCGCGCUGUUCCAGCGGUAAAUCUCGACUGACCGAGUCAAUGAAAUAAAUAAAUGAUCGUCUCCAUCCUCAGAUGUUGCUGCCGCCGCAUCCAUAACGGGAGAUCCAGACGCACGGAUGGGAAACCUCAGCUGACGCGUGAAACAUGUCGAUUGUUUUAUCAAGCAUACGGCUGUGAGAUAAACACGUCUGACGGUCUGCUUCAACUUUAAUGUGUCAUCGUACAUGACAUUUAACCGAAACUCUUCUAAUAUCUUGGUUAUUUUACCGGGAUCAUGUGGACACCGACCGAGGACGAGAAAAUCGGAGUGGUGGUCUGUGGUUUCCGCGGAUCAGUGUCACAUGGUCUGACUCUAGAGCUUGGAGAAACAGUUCAGAUCCUGGAGAAAUGUGAAGGAUGGUACCGAGGAUUUUCCACCAAGAAACCCACAAUCAAGG